GAUCCCUCUUUGUUAGUUAUUUUGUCUAACUCCUUAUCAUCAAUCACUCAUAAACCGACCGUACACAUUAACCAAGUACUAAAUUGACACACAUAAUAACUUGGGUACUCAAUGGAAGUGCGAGUCAAAGUUCAAGUACCAAAUUUGAAAACAAAAUAAUACUAUAGACUCAAAUAAUGGUGAGCAACAUAAUCCUUCCUUCUUUAUUAAUGGAGCUGCAUGAGGAGGAGGACCAAUCUAUCACUUUUUAUUUUUGAGAAAUUGAGGUAUAAACUCUAAACCUUGGGGAUUUUUAUGAAAUUGGUACUCUGAAAAUGUGUGUUUGAGGAUCUUUUGAGCCAUUUAGUUCACCCAUAGUCUCCAUAGGGUCUGUUUUAAAUAGUGAGCACCAAGUGUUUGAAGAAAUGUCUUAAAGACACAUUGGUGGGUGUAUAACUGGUUUUUA